GAUAACUCCGGGAAACCGGAGCUAAUACCGGAUAGUUCCUUGAACCGCAUGGUUCAAGGAUGAAAGACGGUUUCGGCUGUCACUUACAGAUGGACCCGCGGCGCAUUAGCUAGUUGGUGGGGUAAUGGCUCACCAAGGCGACGAUGCGUAGCCGACCUGAGAGGGUGAUCGGCCACACUGGGACUGAGACACGGCCCAGACUCCUACGGGAGGCAGCAGUAGGGAAUCUUCCGCAAUGGACGAAAGUCUGACGGAGCAACGCCGCGUGAGUGAUGAAGGUUUUCGGAUCGUAAAGCUCUGUUGUUAGGGAAGAACAAGUGCGAGAGUAACUGCUCGCACCUUGACGGUACCUAACCAGAAAGCCACGGCUAACUACGUGCCAGCAGCCGCGGUAAUACGUAGGUGGCAAGCGUUGUCCGGAAUUAUUGGGCGUAAAGGGCUCGCAGGCGGUUUCUUAAGUCUGAUGUGAAAGCCCCCGGCUCAACCGGGGAGGGUCAUUGGAAACUGGGAAACUUGAGUGCAGAAGAGGAGAGUGGAAUUCCACGUGUAGCGGUGAAAUGCGUAGAGAUGUGGAGGAACACCAGUGGCGAAGGCGACUCUCUGGUCUGUAACUGACGCUGAGGAGCGAAAGCGUGGGGAGCGAACAGGAUUAGAUACCCUGCUAGUCCACGCCGUAAACGAUGAGUGCUAAGUGUUAGGGGGUUUCCGCCCCUUAGUGCUGCAGCU
rnacentral:rRNA from 1 species